GACGGAGGGUGCUAGCGUUGUUCGGAAUUACUGGGCGUAAAGGGCGCGUAGGCGGCCAUGUAAGUCGGGUGUGAAAGCCCGGGGCUCAACCCCGGAACGGCACCCGAGACUGUGUGGCUCGAGACCGGAAGAGGUGAGUGGAAUACCCAGUGUAGAGGUGAAAUUCGUAGAUAUUGGGUGGAACACCGGUGGCGAAAGCGGCUCACUGGCCCGGUUCUGACGCUGAGGCGCGAAAGCGUGGGGAGCAAACAGG
rnacentral:rRNA from 1 species